rnacentral:lncRNA from 10 species
GGGUUUCACCAUGUUGGCCAGGCUGGUGUCAAACUGCUGACCUCAACUUAUCUGCCCGCCUUGGCCUCCCAAAGUGCUGGGAUUACAGGUGUGAGCCACCGCACCUGGCCAGAAAAAUUUUUAUUUGAGAUGUUGAAGAGGAAUCAUCAUAAUUCAUAUUUUUAUUUCUCUAUUUGAACAUCAUGAAAGUACAUUUGAGUUUAUGAAUAUUAACUUUCAUGGCCUCAUUCACGAUCUCAUCUUUGCGUCUUGUCCCCACAUUUCUGGGCCAGACUUGGAGCUUCCAUUAAUGUCAAACGGAGCUUUGCCCUAAGGCAGGGAACUGAAAGGUUGUAGUAACAAAAUGAGGAUUUGUCCUACUGGGAAUGAGUAAAAGAAAAGGAAGUUCACUUUUGUCAAAGAAAGCAAAAAAAAAAAAGCCUAUAGAAGUUGGAAUAAAAAAUAAAACUUUUUCAGAUAUCUUUGUUGUUUGAGAUAUAAACCAAGGCUAUGUUGAAGUUAGCAAUUUAACUUUAUUCAUUUGCCUUUCAGAAACAGUGUCAUCUGUAAGCAGUAGCAUCCUGUGAUCUCUGCAGUCUUUUCUGAAAUAUCUCUUCUUAUCAUGGGUCAUGAAAACUUACGAUAGAAAUUUAACAAAACACUUACUGUUUAAGAAAUUAAGAUUCCAUCUUGGGCUUUCCUAAAGGGAAAAAGAGGAAAAAAAGUUUCUGUGUACUUUAGCAAUACAACCCAUGCAGAACUGGAAAACGACUAAAUAAAUGAAAAUAAUUUUGUCUCUGUAAAAGACAGGGCAGAGCCAGCUUUUGGUUGAAUAUCUGUCAAAACUAAUGAAAGCCUGUAGUAAAGGCAAAAAGAAUCAACCAUCUUAGUUGGCCAUCAAGGUAAACAUCUUAUACCUAGGUGCUCACCUUAUUUUCUAUGAGCUUUGCAUGAGAUAAACUGCAUUUCAUCUCAGACAAGCCAAAAGCCCUGGAAGUCCCUGCCCAGCCAGACUCUUUCCAGGGAAAACACAGAAGCCAUAAUCUGUUGAACCCUUGCAAUUAAGUCGAACCAUUUGAAAUUGCUGGUUAAGAAGUACUAGGCACAUUAGAUAAGUUAUUGCUGUAAUCCCUACAAUUUGGCUUUGAGAUAGGCACUACCAUUCACAUGAAGCUGAUGAGAAAGGAGGCCAGGGAGGUAAUGUUAUUUGCCUAGGAUAGGGUCACUUGGCUUGUCAGUGUUGGAGUUGGGUUCCAACAAGAUCUGACUCUAAAGCUAGUGAUGAGUUAGUUUAUCAGGAAACAAAAAGUUAAAAAGACAUUCCUGAAAUAUUUUCUUUUUUUUUGGAUGGCCAAAAUUAAAAGUGUUUUACUACGAGUUAAGGUAAAGAGGGGUUCUACUCUCCUUGGAAAGACAAAGGGGAAAAAAUGGGGGAAAGCUAUUAAUAAAUGUAAAGGAUUAAAAUAAAAAUUCAUUACUGCAAUGAAGGACAGAGUUAACUGUGUACAAGCCAUAUGCCUGGGACAAAAUAAAGCAGUAAUUUGCCUCUUAAUAAAUAAUAGCAAGAUGUGCUAUAUAAAUGCAAUGGUACUUGGCAUACAAAAGGAAAUUUAGAAACUUGAGAAUACAAGCUGUUGUAUUAGAACCCUUUAAUGGUGUCUAACAAAUCAGACCCAAAUUAUAAUUCUAAGAUUUUUUUUUAAAUCAGCCAUAGCACAUAAAUACGUGAUAUGAGCUUUCUGAGUUCACUUAUCCAUGUGCAGAUGUACCCAGGUCAUACUUUUUGCAACCCCAAAUGUUUGCUCUGCCCUCUAAAGGGCUUAGAGGAAUUCAUUCAGCCAGUUGGUUUAUUAUGGAUAGCUCCUUCACUCUGAGAUUUAGAUCAAAUAUGCUGAAAAAAGGUGGUUUUCUGUCUUUGAGUGAGACUAGUACAUAUAUGUAAUAAACACUGAACUUUUUUAAAAAAAGGAAACAUUCACUGAAAGGCAAACUUUCACUAUAUCUCUGCAUAAUUGAUCCAGGCCACUUAGUUGAGUAAAAUGUGUUCAGUUAGUCACUUAAGAUGUGACACGUACCACUUGGAACAAUCUAGAAGUGAGGUUAACAAGGGCCUCUGAUUCACUCAGUGAACUCUGAAGGUAGAAUGAAAAACAUUUAUUAAAAAAUCUAUUACUUUUGUCAUUUUUAAUGACUCAAUUAAAAAACAUUAUUUCCUUUAAAUCUACAGUAGGGAUCCAAUAUACUC